rnacentral:rRNA from 1 species
GACAGAGGGUGCAAGUGUUAUCCGGAAUCACUGGGCGUAAAGCGUCUGUAGGUGGUUUAAUAAGUCAACUGUUAAAUCUUGAGGCUCAACCUCAAAAUCGCAGUCGAAACUAUUAGGCUAGAGUAUAGUAGGGGUAAAGGGAAUUUCCAGUGGAGCGGUGAAAUGCGUAGAGAUUGGAAAGAACACCGAUGGCGAAGGCACUUUACUGGGCUAUUACUAACACUCAGAGACGAAAGCUAGGGUAGCAAAUGGG